GUGCUCGCUUCAGCAGCACAGACACUAAAACAGGAGCGAUACAGAGAAGGUUAGCGUGGGCCCUGUGCAAGGAUGCCAUGCGAAUUCCUGAAGCAUCCCGUACUUGG